AUACGUAGGGGGCGAGCGUUGUCCGGAAUGAUUGGGCGUAAAGGGCGCGUAGGCGGCCCGGUAAGUCUGGAGUGAAAGUCCUGUUUUUAAGAUGGGAAUUGCUUUGGAUACUGUCGGGCUUGAGUGCAGGAGAGGUAAGAGGAAUUCCCAGUGUAGCGGUGAAAUGCGUAGAGAUUGGGAGGAACACCAGUGGCGAAGGCGACCUACUGGACUGUAACUGACGCUGAGGCGCGAAAGUGUGGGGAGCAAACAGGAUUAGAUACCCUGGUAGUCCACACUGUAAACGAUGAAUGCUAGGUGUAGGGGGUAUCGACCCCUUCUGUGCCGCAGUCAACACAAUAAGCAUUCCGCCUGGGGAGUACGGCCGCAAGGUUGAAACUCAAAUGAAUUGACGGGG
rnacentral:rRNA from 1 species